rnacentral:rRNA from 1 species
AUGUCCAUGGAACUGGCCGUGAUCCACCUCGCGCGCCCAGCCCUCACGCCGUCGCCUUCGCUGCGGCCGCGUGGACGGCGCAUGCUGCGCCUACGCGUGAGGUGCCGCAUCGACGGGGAUGAGGGGGGUGGAGCCUGGGGGAGCGAGGAGGACGAGCCCGAGUCGCUGUUUGCAAAGGAGCUGAGGCGGCGGGGUAUGGCGGCGGGGUCCGUCCCUUCCGGUGAGAAGUCGGGGGCAGCCGCAGAGGCGGAGGAAGGCGGCCCAGGGGCAGAGGCGGGGAGGAAGCGCGGGGUCGGUGCGGCGGCGGCGGAGUUCGAGAGGGCUGCGACCGGGGCGGACGGGCAGAGAGAGCGGUCCAUGGCGCUCAACAGCGAAGGCCUUGAGGGUCUAGUACCACGGGCAAAGCUGUUAUUAUCAGUUGGUGGUACUUUUUUCCUGGCAUUUGGUCCUCUGAUUAUUGUCACGGUUUCUCUAUUUGCUGGUCUUUAUCUAUAUUUUGGGCAAAGCUUCGUACACGACGGGAGCAAGAAACCAGUCGCGCCACCACCAUACAUUGAUCCAUAUGAGCUACUGGAAGACGAUAGGAUCUCCCGGCCCUCCCUUGAUGUGUUCUGA